GAAGUUGGUUAGACAAUCGCUGCGUUAACAUUAAGUUUAACGGGGAGGAAAGUCCGGGCUCCACAGGGCAGGGUGCCAGCUAACGGCUGGGAGGCGUGAGCCUACGACAAGUGCAGCAGAGAGAAGACCGCCGAUGACUCUUUCGAGAGAACAGGUAAGGCUGAAAGGGUGCGGUAAGAGCGCACCGGACCACUGGUAACAGUUGGUUGCAGGGUAAACUCCACCCGGAGCAAGAUCAAAUAGGCUCUCUUAUGGCGUGGCCCACGUUGAGAGCGGGUAGAUCGCUUGAGCCUGCGAGCAAUUUCAGGCCUAGAUGAAUGAUUGUCCACGACAAAACCCGGCUUACUGGCGUCUCCAGCU
rnacentral:RNase_P_RNA from 1 species